CAGCGUAGUAAAUGACAGAGUGAGAGGCAAAAAGGAGCUCUCCCUCUCUCAUCGCCAUUGACGCCCGCUGAGGUCUGCGGCGGAAGGAAUACGCGGCGGCGAUUCCCGGAUGGAGUUCCUCAUGCAACCGAUAUCCUCCCUAGCCCCCCCCCCCCACAAGAUAGUUACUGUUGGUGGAUUUUGCAAUGGAUUUGUGCCUCUGAUCCAUGGAUUUUGGUGGACCGUAGGACUGCAGUGAUGGAGGAGGUGAACCGCAACGAGCUACAAUGGAGCCGCUGCCCUACCCAGCUGUGGCGACAGGAGCCGAAGAGCUGCCCCCAAUGGCCACAGGUAGCGUUGACGGGCAGGUUUGUGCGGCGGUUGUGGCAGCCGAUAGGCCAAAUUGAUCCAAAAACUCCUGGCUGGACUCGCAGGUCAGCAGGCAGCAAACAACCACAUGGCAGCUGUUGAGACAGAGAUAGUUAAGAUGCUACACAAUUAUUAGACCGUUCACUUGAUGAGUGGUGAUCACAUAAAAAUAAACUCACAAUGAUGUUUACGUGCUAAAAACCCAUAACAGAUGGCCUAAUGUGCGCGAUGACAAGCAAUCGUGGUACUCAACCAAUUUUCCUGAAGUUCCAGACUGAAAUCUGGUACAGUUGGUGUGGUGUAUGUGAGCUCUACCCCGGAGAAUCGUACGAGAGGUCCAGCUGUGUCUCCGGCAAGGCAGUGGCAGAAGAGACGUGUGCACCGUCCAAAAUAAGAAGUGUCAUAACAGGUAUCGAAAUUCACCUUCCAGGACCGUGUCCUCUGCAUCGGAGAGCUCUUACAGCGAUGCAGUCGGUAGGAGCAGUGAGCCAGUGAUCAACCUGGACCAGCCGCUCCAAGCAGGUGGGAGAGCUGUGCCUCCUGGAGACUCAGCCGGGAGAACAGAAUUUGCAGUUGGGGCAAUGCCGGUGGCCAGAGUGAAGCAUAUGUGUUCCCUGGAAUAACAAUUAGGGCUGCAGGGGAGUCUUCAUGUGCAGCUAAUCGUCGAGGCGGUCCUGCAGCAGGAGGCACCCAGGCACACAUGCUUCAUGUGCAUCAGGUGGCAAUGGCACUGAAGAUUUUGCAGUUGGGGAGGGCAACAAUCAGGGUGCUGAACGCAAUGUCAGAGGUUCAGGUGCUGACUCGGGGCGGAUGAUGAGCAACUUAAGGUUCCGCAGCAAACGGACAAGGUUCUGCAGCAUAUGUCGGCGGCAGGGGCACAAGAGGACUACGUGCCCGGACAGGGGUGAUGCCCCGAAGCCUGUUCGCAAGCCAGCGAGGUGCAAAAAUUGUCGAAUCGAAGGGCACAGGCGAAACAACUGCCACAAAGUGGGUGAUCUGCGGAUGAUUGGGCUGUGAGCAAUUGCAAUAAUUUGUUUGUUUAGACUACCUGUAGAACUUCAUGUGUGCGUUGGUAGUUCCAUCACUACAACUUAUUUAUUUCCAUGCUUGCUGGGUGGAGAUAAUUACACCUACAGUCCUUAUACUCUCCGGCAUGUAACAUGAUGGUCCUCAAACUCGUGGAGUGCUCCAUUAUGGUCCUCAAAUACAAGAAUACGCUUCA